ensembl:lncRNA
GUGGCUCCCAUUUGAAGCACUGUGUUGCUACCCCACUGAAAUGAUGGUCUUUGCUCCUUAACUGAGGUUUCCAAAAAUGUUUAAUACGUUGACAUUCAAGUAGACACCGUAAGAACUACAAACAAACAAAAAAUACAUAAGCCAAAUACAAAACCUAUCAUCACAUUAUUCAUCAUACAAUGUACAAAACCAAUUACCUUAUUUCACUUUUCAGUGAGACGCACAAGUACAAUAAAAGGAAGAGAAAGACGUCAAACUGCAGGCUGCGUCCUUCACAAAGCACACACACACAAACAGCGGAAAUGUGUCGCUCUUUAUACAGGUCCAUUUGCGCAUUAAGUUAAUUUCAUAAUAAAAGUCCUUUAACUGCUCUGUACAAAAAAAAGGGUCAAUGCAAUACAGACUUCAUAUCUGGUUAACAAAUUAGCAGUUCGUUACACACUAUGGUUCCAGGCCAGCCAUUUUUACCAUCAUGAUGGAUGACAGGGUUCCAGCAAGUCCUAAGCUGUUCCUGGUUUUCGUCUUGUUUAAUCCCACCAAGGAGAAACUCCUCUCAGCGUCGGCAUUUGAAUGAGGGAGCACUAACACCAAUGCAGCUAUUUUAGAAAGCCUCCCAAACUGGCUCAAACUUCUGAAAAAAGGAACCAAGAGCCUCUAUUACUCAAAUACUUUGCUUUUAUGAUUUCAGUUGUGUGUAUGUUAUGUGAUUCCAAAUACUUCUUACUUUACACUUGACUGAAGGACAUACUCCCCCAAAACUCCUCAACGUUAAAGGUGGUGGGAUCUUGUGGCAUGGGAAUAUCCACGAGUUGAUAUUCCAAGAACUCCUCACUCCCCUUGUCCUUUUCCUCUAACCCACUGAAAGGAAGUAGUUCCUGAAUUCUAAAAAGAGCACCAUGUGUUAAGAACAGAUUAAGUAGUUGUUUUGUGACCAUGGUCCAAAUUAAACUUGUAUUAAAUAUGUUGAAAUCUUGAAAAAUGUAAAACCCUUGCCUGUCUAUGAAGUACAGUAGGUGGCCAACCUAUCUGGGGCUUACCGCCGCGCUGGUAACUGUAAUUCAGUCGUGUCUUUAAAUUAUUCGCGAAACUACCGCCAGGUGGCGCAAAGAGACGGAUUGCGAAAUGAAUGUAAUUGUAAAAUGAGAUAAAAGAAGGAAGUAAAACAACAAUAACAUUAUGAUAACAUUGUAACAUUUAAAAAAAAAAACAUUUUUUUUUUUUACAAUUUGUUAAUUUUUUAAAUGUAGGAUAGUCUUAGACUACAGUCUUCUAAACAAAAAUUAAAAGAAGACCUUAACACAAAGGAUCAUAUGCAUGCUAUUUUUAUUAAACAGUAAAUAAAUAUAAGGCCUAUAUAUAUAUAUAUAUAUAUAUAUAUAUACACACAUAUAUAUAUAUAUAUAUAUAUAUAUAUAUAUAUAUAUAUAUAUAUAUAUAUAUAUAUAUAUAUAUGUAUAUGUAUAUAUAUAUAUAUAUAUAUAUAUACGUAUAUAUAUAUAUAUAUAUAUAUAUAUAUAUAUAUACGUAUAUAUAUAUAUAUAUAUAUAUAUAUACAUAUACAUAUAUAUACAUAUACACAUAUAUAUAUAU